GCAAAUGAUUCAAUGGAAUUAGAUUUCAGAAGGGCAUCAUCAAAUGCAGUUAAUAUCACUCUGGAUCCUAAAUGCACACAUGCCAGGCUCAACAUUAAAGACAAAAAUAAAAUCAGAUUCCAUCCAUCUGAUUCAGG